AUGGCUAACGCCUGGCCGUAACGAGUAGGAGGGUCGUGGUGGUUGCGUUGAAGGCUUAGGGCGUAGGCCCGGCUGGAGCUUCCAUCAGUGCAGAUCUCGGUGGUAGUAGCAAAUAUUUAAGUUCGAUCCUUGAAGACUGAAGUGGGGAAGGGUUCCACGUGAACAGUAGUUGAAUGUGGGUCAGUCGAUCCUAAGAUACUGGCUUAUGCCUUGUAUCAUCGAGAGGGAGAAGUUUCUUCUCUCUCGGAUAUCGAAAGGGAAUAGAGUUAAUAUUCUCUAACGCAGACAUAGAGAUUGUGGCUCUUUGAGUUGCUUGCGCGGUAACGCAUUCGAACUCGGUAACGUCGCUUAGAGACCGAGCUAGAGUUUUCUUCUCUAGUUAAGGAACGGACUCCCUGGAAUCGGUUCAUCCGGUAGAUAGGGACGUUGUUUCCGUAAAGCACCGCGGUUUCUGUGGUGUCUCGUGCUCUCUGAACGGCCCUUGAAAAACCGAGGGAGGCUAUUAAUCUAUGCUGCAUCGUACCGAUAUCCGCAUCAGGUCCUCAAGGUGAACAGCCUCUAGUCGAUAGAAUAAUGUAGGUAAGGGAAGUCGGCAAAUUAGAUCCGUAACUUCGGGAAAAGGAUUGGCUCCAGUGAUCGGGUCGGUUGGCCUGUUCACUGAUACUUGUAUGGUUUCGUUCGUGGCUGGCUGAUGCUAACGCUGAUGUCGGACUAGUGAUGAGACAGUCUUGUGGACGUUUAUAGGUGUGUGCUUUGCUUUCGAGCUUAGUAUCCUGACCGGCCAUUAAAACGGUCGAACUGGAACUGGUACGGACUCGGGGAAUCCGACUGUCUAAUUAAAACAGAGGAGACAGAUGGUCCUUGCGGACGUUUACUGUCUCUGAUUUCUGCCCAGUGCUCUGAAUGUUAAAUCGUAGUAAUUCGAGUAAGCGCGGGUAAACGGCGGGAGUAACUAUGACUCUCUUAAGGUAGCCAAAUGCCUCGUCAUCUAAUUAGUGACGCGCAUGAAUGGAUUAACGAGAUUCCC
rnacentral:ncRNA from 1 species